GCCUGGCUGGCUCAGUGGGUGGAGCAUGAGACUCAUGAUCUCGAGGUUGUGAGUUCAAGCCCCACACUGGGUG